AAAUCAUUCCUAGACGACCUGAUUCUGGGUCAGGGUUUCGUACGUAGCAGAGCAGCUCCCUUGCUGUGAUCUAUUGAGAAUCAGCCCUCGACACAAGCUUUUGGAAGAACAUCUACUUA